CUCUUCUUGUAAUUUAUUUGAAGUAUAACCUGCCCACUGAUUAAUUUUAAAGGGCCGCGGUAUUUUGACCGUGCAAAGGUAGCAUAAUCAUUAGUUUUUUAAUUGAGGACUAGAAUGAAAGGUUGAACGAGGAAUAAACUGUUUCUUUUUAAUUAUAUUUGAAUUUAAAAUUUAAGCAAAAAUGCUUAAAUCUUUUUAUGGGACGAGAAGACCCUAUAGAGUUUUAUAAUUUUUAAUAUUAUUAUGUUUGUUAAUUAUUGAUUUUAAGAUUUAUUUUGUUGGGGUGAUGGGAAGAAGUUAAUAAACUCUUUUUUGUAUUUAUAUAUUAAUGAAUAUAUUUGUUGAUCCAAUUUUUGUUGAUUAUAAGACUAAAUUACCUUAGGGAUAACAGCGUAAUCUUUUUAGAGAGUUCUUAUCGAUAAAAGGGUUUGCGACCUCGAUGUUGGAUUAAGAUUAAAAUUGGGGGUAGUUUUUCAAUUAUUAGGUCUGUUCGACCUUUAAAAUCUUACGUGAUCUGAGUUCA
rnacentral:rRNA from 1 species